rnacentral:rRNA from 1 species
GGCGUAUGAGGGCGAGCUGAUCAGCCCGCCGCGUGUGUGAAGAAGGUCUUCGGAUUGUAAAGCUCUUUUGUUAGGGAAGAACGGCAGCAAGUUAAUACGUUGGUGGUUUGACGGUACCCAAAGAAUAAGCCCCGGCUAACUUCGUGCCAGCAGCCGCGGUAAUACGAA